GGCUCAGAUUGAACGCUAGCGGGAUGCCUUACACAUGCAAGUCGAACGGCAGCACGGACUUCGGUCUGGUGGCGAGUGGCGAACGGGUGAGUAAUGUAUCGGAACGUGCCUAGUAGCGGGGGAUAACUACGCGAAAGCGUAGCUAAUACCGCAUACGCCCUACGGGGGAAAGCAGGGGAUCGCAAGACCUUGCACUAUUAGAGCGGCCGAUAUCGGAUUAGCUAGUUGGUGGGGUAACGGCUCACCAAGGCGACGAUCCGUAGCUGGUUUGAGAGGACGACCAGCCACACUGGGACUGAGACACGGCCCAGACUCCUACGGGAGGCAGCAGUGGGGAAUUUUGGACAAUGGGGGAAACCCUGAUCCAGCCAUCCCGCGUGUGCGAUGAAGGCCUUCGGGUUGUAAAGCACUUUUGGCAGGAAAGAAACGUCAUGGGUUAAUACCCCGUGAAACUGACGGUACCUGCAGAAUAAGCACCGGCUAACUACGUGCCAGCAGCCGCGGUAAUACGUAGGGUGCAAGCGUUAAUCGGAAUUACUGGGCGUAAAGCGUGCGCAGGCGGUUCGGAAAGAAAGAUGUGAAAUCCCAGAGCUUAACUUUGGAACUGCAUUUUUAACUACCGAGCUAGAGUGUGUCAGAGGGAGGUGGAAAUUCCGCGUGUAGCAGUGAAAAUGCGUAGAUAUGCGGAGGAACCACCGAUGGCGAAGGCAGCCUCCUGGGAUAAC
rnacentral:rRNA from 1 species